rnacentral:rRNA from 1 species
AACGAACGCUGGCGGCACGCCUAACACAUGCAAGUCGAACGAAGCAUAAGAGCUUGCUCUUAUGACUGAGUGGCGCACGGGUGAGUAACACGUGGGAAUCUGCCUAUUGGUGGGGAAUAACUUUUGGAAACGAAAGCUAAUACCGCAUAAGCCCUAAGGGGGAAAGAUUUAUCGCCAAUAGAUGAGCCCGCGCUAGAUUAGCUAGUUGGUGAGGUAAGAGCUCACCAAGGCUACGAUCUAUAGCUGGUCUGAGAGUAUGGUCAGCCACGCUGGGACUGAGACACGGCCCAGACUCCUACGGGAGGCAGCAGUGUGGAAUAUUGGACAAUGGGGGAAGCCCUGAUCCAGCGAUGCCGCGUGAGUGAAGAAGGCCUUCGGGUUGUAAAGCUCUUUCAGAGGGGAUGAUAAUGACGGUACCCUCAGAAGAAGCACUGGCUAACUUCGUGCCAGCAGCCGCCGUAA